rnacentral:rRNA from 1 species
GUGGGGGAUAACGUAGCGAAAGUUACGCUAAUACCGCAUAUUCUGUGAGCAGGAAAGCAGGGGAUCGCAAGACCUUGCGCUGAUUGAGCGGCCGAUAUCAGAUUAGCUAGUUGGUGAGGUAAAGGCUCACCAAGGCGACGAUCUGUAGCGGGUCUGAGAGGAUGAUCCGCCACACUGGAACUGAGACACGGUCCAGACUCCUACGGGAGGCAGCAGUGGGGAAUUUUGGACAAUGGGGGCAACCCUGAUCCAGCCAUGCCGCGUGAGUGAAGAAGGCCUUCGGGUUGUAAAGCUCUUUCGGCCGGGAAGAAAUCGCAUGGGUUAAUACCCUGUGCGGAUGACGGUACCGGCAUAAGAAGCACCGGCUAACUACGUGCCAGCAGCCGCGGUAAUACGUAGGGUGCGAGCGUUAAUCGGAAUUACUGGGCGUAAAGCGUGCGCAGGCGGUUUUGUAAGACAGGCGUGAAAUCCCCGGGCUCAACCUGGGAACUGCGCUUGUGACUGCAAGGCUAGAGUAUGGCAGAGGGGGGUGGAAUUCCACGUGUAGCAGUGAAAUGCGUAGAGAUGUGGAGGAACACCAAUGGCGAAGGCAGCCCCCUGGGCCAAUACUGACGCUCAUGCACGAAAGCGUGGGUAGCAAACAGGAUUAGAUACCCUGGUAGUCCACGCCCUAAACGAUGUCAACUAGGUGUUGGGUGGGUAAAACCAUUUAGUACCGGAGCUAACGCGUGAAGUUGACCGCCUGGGGAGUACGGCCGCAAGGUUAAAACUCAAAGGAAUUGACGGGGACCCGCACGAGCGGUGGAUGAUGUGGAUUAAUUCGAUGCAACGCGAAAAACCUUACCUACCCUUGACAUGUCCAGGAGCCUGAAGAGAUUUGGGUGUGCCCGAAAGGGAACUGGAACACAGGUGCUGCAUGGCUGUCGUCAGCUCGUGUCGUGAGAUGUGGGGUUAAGCCCCGCAACGAGCGCAACCCUUGUCGUUAAUUGCCAUCAUUUAGUUGGGCACUUUAACGAGACUGCCGGUGACAAACCGGAGGAAGGUGGGGAUGACGUCAAGUCCUCAUGGCCCUUAUGGGUAGGGCUUCACACGUCAUACAAUGGUCGGUACAAAGGGUUGCCAACCCGCGAGGGGGAGCCAAUCCCAGAAAGCCGAUCGUAGUCCGGAUUGCAGGCUGCAACUCGCCUGCAUGAAGUCGGAAUCGCUAGUAAUCGUGGAUCAGCAUGUCACGGUGAAUACGUUCCCGGGUCUUGUACACACCGCCCGUCACACCAUGGGAGCGGGUUCCGCCAGAAGUAGGUAGCCUAACCGCAAGGGGGGCGCUUACCACGGCGGGGUUCGUGACUGGGGUGAAGUCGGAACAAGGUA